AAACAUUUCUGGGGGAAAAUAUUUUUGGUAUAACCUGCUCAAUGCAGUAAAUAGCUGCAGUAUAUUGACUGUACAAAGGUAGCAUAAUCAUUAGUCUUUUAAUUGGAGGCUUGAAUGAAAGGUUGGACAGAAUUUUUUUUUCAAUAUAUGAAUUUAAUUUAUAUGUAAAAAAGCAUAUAUAAUUUAAAGGGACGAGAAGACCCUAUAGAAUUUAAAAAAAUGAGAUUUUAUUGGGGUGAUAAAAAAAACUUUUUUUUCAUAUUAGUGAGUUUUGAUCCUUAAGAUAAUAAGAUAAAAUUACCUUAGGGAUAACAGCAUAAUUUUUCUUUUAAGUUCAUAUUUAUAGAAAAGAUUAUGACCUCGAUGUUGAAUUGAUAGUAUUAAAAUGUAGAUAUUUAAUA
rnacentral:rRNA from 1 species